ensembl:lncRNA
AAAGUGAGGGGAUGCAAAGCAAAGGAAGAAGGCUUUUUGAUUCCUCCCCUCUGCUGAAGACACAUCCCAAGAAAAUAAGUAACAAAAAAGGACUUGUGCAGUAGUCAGAGUCUCACACAUCCUUUCCUGCUGGGUCCCCAACUCUUCCUGGAAGAAACUGAGGAUGGAGCCUUUCACAUCCAGGAUAUUACAUGAAAGUUGCACAGAAAACUGAUAUAUCUCCAAUGACUCACCUGCACCUUUGGAAAAGUCAGAAUGACAUGGAUGAGAUGACCUACAUACACACCUUUUAGUCACAGUUACUCUUGAUGUUGAAAUCUGUUCAGCCUGCAUUUUUGCUCUACAGAGAGCAAAAGAGAAAGAGGACGAAUAUACAGUCUUCAGAGCAGCAGUGGUGACUGUCCUCCUCCUGGGCUCCUUCCCAGUCCCCAGAACAAUUGUUUUUGGGAAACCCAGGCUAUUUGUUUCCAUCUCCAUCAACUCCCUGUGAUACAAACUACUGCACUGUUUACUGGAAGAGCCUGAACAGAAAGUCUACAACUUCAUAUCCACUAGAGCUUGGUUCAGUUCUUUUGCAUUUACAGAAGGCUGGCAGUGAAAUAGCAAAUUGUAUAAUGAGCUUCAAAGGGUCAUGCUGAUAUGAAAUGCAGAGACAGCCCUGAAAUCUGCUGAGGAACCACCCAGAAAGAGCCUGUACAUGCUCAAAUUUCUCACAUCCACCACGUAGCAAUGCAUUCUGCUAACAAGACCAACUAAAUGAACAUUUCUUUUGCUUGUACUUCAAAUUCUUCAUCAAAUGCUGUUUCAGUUUGCUCCACUGCAAUACUGGAAAAUGCCAGAUACACCUGGCAGUGUAGGAUAUAUGUAGCUCCCAGAAGUGCCCUGUACAUUUGCAAGAAAUGAAAUUAUUAAUUAUCUCUGUAUUUAUGUACCUAUUUGAUUCACAAGCUUGAUAGGUUCACUCUAGUGGCUGAUUUACGUGAAUGUUCCUGGGACUGCAUUACUGCAUAAUUAAUCUUUAUAGCAAAGUGGCCUUGUUUCCACAUGGAUGCUGCUUAAAAAAUUGCAUUCAUUUGCACUAUGGAGGCAUAGGCAAUAGGUGGAAAUAUCAAAAUGAGCUGUUCACUCCCUGUUCUGAAAUGGAUGAAAUCUAAAGCUAGUCUUCAUUUAGAUUGGAAGAAGAUGAUCCAGAGAUAUAGCACAGGAAAACCUCUCUGAUAUAAAGCUGGGAGGAGUGGCUGACACCAGAAGACUGUGCCUUCAGCAAGACUUGGACAGAAUGGAAAGUUGUGCAGGGAGAAACCUCAUUGAUUAACCUUGAUUAACAAGAGCAAGUGUAGAGUCUUGCUCCUGUGGUGGGAUAACCAUGUGCAUCAGUACAGGUUAGGGGAUGACCUGUGGAGAGGAGUUCUGCAGAGAAGGACCUGGGUAUUCUGGUGGACAAUGGGUUGGCCAUGAGCCAGCAGUGGGCCCUUGUAGCCAAGUAGGACAAUAGUAUUCUGGGGCACAUUCAAACGAGUGCGGCCAGCAUGUUAAAGAAGGUUAUCCUCCCUUUCCACUAUGCUCUGGUGAGACGACAUUUAGACUACUGUAUCCAGUUCUGGGCUCCCCAGUUCAAAAAAAAAAAAAACAGGGACCUCCUAGAAGGAGUCCAGCAGGGGGCCAUAAGGAUGAUAAAGGGCCUAGAGAUCUCCCUUAUGAGGAAAGAUUGGGAGACCUGGAUCUGUUCAUCCUGGAGAAAGAAGUCUGAGGGGGUAUCUGAUUAAUGUUUAUAAAUAUCUGAAUAGAGGUGGGAAGCAAAUGGAGGAGGCCGGGCUCCUCUUAGUGGUGCACAGCAAUAGGACAAGGAGUAAUGGCCUAAAACUUGAACAUAGGAAGUUCUAUGUAAAUAUGCUUAAGAACUUCUGUACGGUAGGGGUGACUAACCACUAGAACAGGUUGCCCAGAGAGGUUGUGGAGUCUCCUUCUCAGGAAAUACUCAAGACCUGGCUGAACAUCUACCUGUACAACUUAUCAGAGCAGGGGGCUUGGACUCGAUGAUCUCUUGAGGUCCCUUCCAACUCCUGAGAUUCUGUGAUUCUGAAACAGCAUGCAACAGAUCAGAUAUUUUUUCUUUUGAAACUGGACCUUAAAAAUACAUAUAUAUUUUUUGUUAUCCAAGGAAAUUAACCUGCUUUCUUCAGGUCAAAUAAAUUAUCUGUGGAUAC